rnacentral:other from 1 species
GUUUCAGACGAACCUUGUGGAGUUGAAGC